UAAGUGAAGAGUUUGAUCCUGGCUCAGAGUGAACGCUGGCGGUAGGCCUAACACAUGCAAGUCGAACGGCAGCACAG
rnacentral:rRNA from 2 species